UAUAUUUAGUUCCAUCUAGAUUGAAUGGUUCCUAUAGCCACUUUGCUGGGACAUCUGGCAUGUUUCUGAGUGGUGACCUCAGUUUUCCCACCAGCUGUGUAACUUAUCCCCAAGGCACUCCUUAGCACCGCAUUCAGAACCCUUGUGGGAACUGAAGAACUCUUCUGAGAAGCCUAGAUGACUGGUGAGGUGAAAGAUGAAAACUGCUGCAGCACAGAUCCAAGCCCUUGGCUAUUUGGCAAGUGGCCAUGAAGCUUUGCCUGGAAUAGGGUGGGGGGGGAGAAGAGAUGCCUUACGAUCGGAUCCAACUUCAGAUCAUUUCUUUGAUAAUACACAACAUCAUACAACCUAGGAGUGUAGAUAGAAAGAUCUUUAAAGCAGUGUUUUUUCUCAAUUACAGGACUCUCCAUUAACAAAAAUGGAGCAGGAUAGAUUUCAUUUCUUACAAUUAAUAUUACUCAAAUAUUAUUCUACUUAUAUUGGAUUUGGGGUUAUACCACCACAGGUUUUAUGUACUUAAUUUUAUUAAGGAGUUUUAUACCUAUUAUAUAGGCAUCUAUUCUUUUCUUGUCUGGCUUAGUAUUUGAUAACCUAAUGCAGUACAUUCAGUGAAGCUGGACUCUUUCCGAAGUUACACUGGUAAUUACUGGUGCCUUAGUAAAAAAGUGGGUACAUAACACCUUGGUGGAAAGUAAAGCAUGUGGCUUGUUUCACCCCAGCAUGAUGUGCAUAUUUCCAAAAGGUGAUUAAGAUGGCUGCUCCAAAAGAGUUCAGGAGUAUACAUACAUCACUCACAGUCACAAACACCUGAAUAUGAGCAGUUUGUAUGACUUCUGGUAUGUACAGGUUCAAAAGAUAAUCCCCAUACACUUAAUCCACAAUGCUGAAUGAUGGCGAUCAAAUAGCUGGAUAUGUUAAUGACUUACAUAAAGAUCCCCCCACACCAACCCCCAAAAAAGUGACAACAAGCUGCUGAAUAGAAGGGAGUAAGAGGAGAGCAGAGUGUAAAUGAGAGGAUGGCUUUGGUUUUAAUGGACAAUGAAAAUAUAUGUAUUGCCUCUACCAGCAAAUGGAUACCUUGCCAGGGAUAGGGAUAUAUGUACCUGCGUGUCUGUGAGUGUGUGUAUGUGCCUGCGUGUGUUACUGGAAACAGCCUGUAAAUAUUGUAGCUGUUGAAAAUGGUGAAGGCAGAGAGCUUUUUGCAACAUGUUGCAGCAAAAGGACAGUGUUGACAGUGGAGAAACACUGAGAAAUAAAAAACUUUUUUCAAGUGUUGUCAUUUAUUGCAUGUUACAUUCUCCUAAGAUGUCAUUCUCACAGAUGCCCUAUAUGAUCUACUGAGUUUAUUCAAACCACCCUUUAAUGAAAGAUUCUCUUCUGAAAUGAUUUCUUUUGUAGCUGAAAGGAAAAUCUUGGUUUGUAGGUUUUUUUCAGAUGUUCCUUUUCUACUGCACCAUCCCUGUUCUUAUGCUCUUACAUAAGUAUUGAGUACCAUGUGCACCCGUUCGUACAGUUAAAGUGUUUUUCUUGUCUGUUCAAGUGCAGCUUCUGUAUUUACCAUAAUUUCCCUUCUCUUUGAGUCUUUUUUUCAAGUCACAGAACACUUAGUACUGGUUUAUGCUUAGUAAUUUUCUAUUCUUCAUACAUCCCAGGAAAAUAUUUUCCCUAGUGUGUUCUAAGGGGUGUGACUUCAGCCGUUCUGCAGUCCUUGAUCUGAUAGCCAAGUGCAGCAUUGUGUGAAGUCCUGCGAAUGCUAUGGUUGCAUAAAGCACUUGUUGAUACAGUGAUACUAAUUUAAAAAUACUCAGCUGCCAUCUGUACACUGUAAGGUCUCAGACAUCUCAAAUUGCUUCAUGCUAGCGCAGAGAAUUACAAUAUUGUCUUCCUGCAAGUUAAAAGUGAAUCUUUCAAAGACAAGUGAUUUAUUCGUUAGACAGGUCCAGGUGUUACAGAAAAAUAAUAUUAACGUUGAUUUUUUCUUUCUCUUUUCCUGAAACAAAACAUCCUCUUCAACUGCCUGGAACUUGCUUCUGUUUGACUGUGGUAGAUGAGGGAGUCUGACAAGUGCAACAACUGCAUUAGGCUUCCAGGUUAUCAAUAAAAGGGGGGAGCACAAAUGUAACGAGUGGUGUCCCACCUGCUCUUAAGGAAACAUGAGUCCUUUCUAAUAAAAACUAGCAAGUGUAAUGAAAACUUCAAAAGAUCUGUAGCUGAUACGCUUGCAAACAGCACCUGAGGUUUCAGCUGUAUUUUUAACAGGGACAAUAUCAAAAAAGGAAGGAAGAAAAAGAUGUGAGAAGCACUUCUUCCUUUCUGAGGUAGGUUCCAGAAUGAUUUAGGGGUGGCAAACAAGAAGACAGAUUUACGCUGUGGCCUGGUGUUUCUUGCUGUCUAUGUCAGCCUAAAGAAUGCAACUGUUUAGAUAAUAAUAAUUAGUGGACUGGAUCCCAGUUAGAGGUUGGAGCCUAUGUCCCAGUUUAGUUUUGCAUGAGAAGAGCCUGAUUCAUGUGCUGCAAGACUGCAUCUCUGUGGGAGCCAAGGUACUGGGAAGAGGGGGAACACUGCUUCAAAAAUAUCCUCCUGGGCAGCACUAGCAUGACCCCUAUCACAUGCCUUCCUUGUGGUGCCAAAGGUCAUCCUGUAGUUUGUGUGCAAUCAGCCUUCCUAUGAAAAAUAACUCCUGUAUAGAAAGGAGUAGGUGACAUUUUUUAGCAGAACAUUAUCACUCAUACUUUUAGUAUUUCUUGAGAGCUUUCACUUUAGGAUGAAUUAGCUUAAAUGUAUUCUGACUUGCCAGCAGUGUUUUGUUGUUAUUUUUUGUAAUUUUUUUCUCCUAAACAGUGGUACGGAACACCUUGUCAACAGUGUAUGGCAUUGAUGAGGGCGGGUCCCCAACUGCUGUUGGAUGGAAACUCAAGUUACUGCCCUGCAGGAAACGAGCUCACACAGCUCAACCCCUCGUGCAAUAGAUCUCUUUUAACUUCUUCCUGGCGAGUCAGCCUGCUGGGCUUUGCUGCGUAGACGGUGCACCGAGUUAUGCUGCGACUGUGGCAGGACCCCACCUGUAUUUCACAAACGCGAAGCUGAGGAGUUGAGAGCAGAAGCUGAUGAGAAGUCACCAAGUUCAAGUGCCCAGACUGCAGAGGGACUUCACGUCCCACAGCGCCCAGCGAGUGGAUGUGUGGUGACACUGGCCUGUCCCUGCUCUCGCCCACUGCGUGGCACGUGUCCCAGAUGCACUGCCACAGGCUCAAGGAAAGUAUCAGCUAAUGCAGCAGCACAGUGAACUUAAAGAAAAAUAAAUUGCCAAAUAAAUGGUGCAAACCACAGAACAAGCCAGUUCGAUCAUUGGAGCGAAGGGCACUUCCUCCUGUCUGAUCCUCCUCAUGCAUCUUCCUGGAGAAGAAAAGGCAACUGUGGGCUGAGGAAACAGUGCCACUGCCUGAAAUCUCAUCUAUUUGGAUGCAUUCCACAAGAACAAAACAGCAAUGGAAGGUUUUUGGUAUUUUUUUUUUAUCAUUAGUAAGAGCACAGUCCUGGACAGACGUAAGGAGAAAUAAGAGUCCCCCAUUAGAAGACUUGAUGGAACCCCCGAAAGAUUAUAUUAAGCUGUUUUCAAGGGCUUAUGUCUUAUUUUAGCAAGUCACAAUGCACGUGCCCAGCUGUCCCCUACUCAUGCAACGUAAGGUGGGUCAGAUUACUUCAUGUGCCAAAAUGGGAGUGACCUACUUGCUACAAAAAAUAUUUGGGGAUGUAGUUACCCGGAGCACAGUCACAAGCUUUCUGUGGGGUAGUUCUUUAGUUUUUGGAGCACUCAAAUGCUAUGGUUAGAUUUGACUUUUGUUAUUAUGCUCUUGCCAUUAGAGUAGGCCUUGGACACCUGUGUUGUACAUCCAUUCCUCUCCUUCCAGGAUAUUUGGGAUUUGAACUUUUACUGCAAGAUUUGUUGUAGGAAAUGAGUGGUAAGGAAGAGUGGGUUAUAAGAAAUGAGUGCUUUCCGCUGAUGCAGUUGGAAGCUACGUGCCUCUGAGGAUGUUACUGCAUGCCCUGUGUUUCCAGCUAUCCAGGCUUCCUUUGAUGAAGUGACGUCCAGAAAUUGUGGGGCCUGAGGCUGCAAAAAGAUUCACAGUGAAUUCAAAAUGUGAACACGACCGCAGCUCUGCAGCCUGGGAAAUUCUCUAAGAUCCUUCCCCAGGCAGGUGACAUUGCUGUGAGGCUGGAAGUGGAUGAGUGUGAAACCAAUGCAAUAAUUGUAGCCUUGCUGCUGGCAGUAUUAGUUUUCCUUCCUGGCAAGGACAAAGGAAGAAGGUCGGCUCGGUUAGCUCCGCCGGGCUCUGUGGCGGGAGGAAGUUCGGAAGGGGGCUUAGCAGCUUUGUCUGUAGCACGCUGACGUUCUGGACGGGAGAGGGAUGGAAGACAUCAACACCUGAUUGUGGCCUCCGAGCAAAUUUUUGCAUUUAAAAUCCUUUCCUAGCUGGAAAAUUCUCUGAGCCAUUGACUAAUUAGAUUGUAUUAAUUUACAGAAACGUUAGGCCUUGUUUUUUGAGCCAGACACUGACAUGCUGCCAUCAAAAUGUUCUCGCCUCCACCGCCGGCUUUGCUUCUGUCAACAUUAAGGGUGGCAUAAGUUUGGAGUACCUGCGGACAGGAGCAUGGGGAAGGCCCUAAAGAACGCAUGUCUCUGUCAGGAAGGCCUGACAGAACUGGGAAUUAAACUCUGGGCUUAAUUUUGUAGCUUUUCUGGUCUUGGUCUGACCCUUGGUUUUGUCACUUACAUUUUUUGUCCCCACUAUUACAGUACAUUUCUUGAUAAAGACCAUUCUGUAUAUAAAGAUCUCUUAAAAACCAUGUAGACGAUGUUCAGGAAAUUUCUAUAUGGUGUUUUCCAGGUUGUCUUAUGAUAUUGUAAACACAGUGGGAAAACACUGGUUCAUUCUGUGGCAUUCUUCUUGCACAUUGCGCAGGCAAUUUGAAGACUGAAUACGAUACAGGGAGUGUAUGUAUGUUCACAUGUGUAUAAAUGCUCUUAUGUACAUGUUAAAUAGAUUAAAUUGAUUAGUAACAGA